GGCCGAGUUUGUCACGUGACACCUGUCCCCGCGCUCUCCUUCGCCAUUUCCGAGACUCUAGGCUCGAAUAACCGAGUGUUCUCCGGGACGUGCUAUUUCAAGGUCCAAUUUCAAGCAUCGUUGUGAGAGAAGAAGCACAAGAAAUAUUAGUAUUCCUUUUUCUACAAGAGAAAAAACAAAGGUCUGAGACAUGGAGUCCCUGCCUGAGGAUGCACAGGAAGUAGAGACCACAUCAUCUAGAGGUCAGAGGUCUUUCAACUCGCUUCACGGUUCUUCUCGCCUGCUCCCGCUUCACCCAGGCCUGUUCACAUCUCAGGUUUACCCAGCCGUGCACUAGACAUCAGUCUGGGUCCUGACACCGCUCUAGUGCAAGAGUCACGUAUCCCCCGGUGUCGGGCGAGCAAACGAGCACAAGGAGCUUUGAGAAAGGAAAACUGACAUCUUGCCCUGCUUCCACUGUGAAUAAGCGCCAUCACAUCUCAAGUGUUCUGCUUAAAAAGCUGCUCCUUACAUGAAGAUUAUAUGCCUUCCUUAAAUCCUUUUGGGAAUUAGAGUAUGAAUAAAUGUAUCACACCACAUAUUUUAUGCUAAAAAACAUAGUUUACUAUUCCUGUAUUACUGUUAUAUAAUUUUAGAGCUGACAGGGAUCAUUUGGGCUAAUCCACCAUAACAGAUGAGGCUACCAACCAGAGUAAUAGACCACAAAAAACUAUGGCUAAUAAGUGACACAGUGAGGACUAUAAUCUUA